UGAUCGGGUGGCUAACGUAUGCCUAUAACUUAGUUUUUUUUAGAAUGAAUUCUAUAAUUGAACCGAUUAUGGUCAUAUAAUUAAACCACAAAGGGUUCCAUGUAUUUUGACCGGAAUUUAUUGGUGCUGCAGACAAACUGGCGGCCAAUGUACUCACCUUCUAGUAGAGGAGUAUGUGACCAUUUCUCAACAAAAGUAAUGAUAUAUGGGACCACGUGAUUAUCGUGCCAGCACAUACCCCCCGGGGGGGCCCCCACGCUGGAGUCUCGGCCUACCUGAUUAGUGUUCUAGUUCCGGAACUUCUGCUGCAUUACCAGAGGAUCGAGAAGGUCCGCUAGGUCCAAUCAAGCAGGGACAGGUCGUGUGCUCACUCAACCAUAGGGAGACUGCUAGACAAAGAUGCUAGACAAUUUUAUUUGCUCAGCAGAAAAGAUUGGUAGAUGUGUGCAUUUGACAGUGGGCAUUUGUUUAUAUUUGAUUAUUUUCUGAUUGAAAAACGUAAGUUGAAACAAGUAAUUUUAUUAUAUUAAAAUAUUGACUUGUAAAGACUUAUUUCGCAUUAAAAAGUAUAAACAUAUUUAUGUUGCUUAGUUUUGCGCAAGACUCAAAUUCUUACGUUGGUGUGUCAAUAAUUUUUUAAUUAAGUGUUAAUUAAGAAAACAAUUAAGACUCGUUUAACUCAUUGUUUGUUUUUCUUUUUAAUGAAUGAAAUGCAAAAGCAGAAACAAAUUUAUUUGGGCAUACCACAUUUAAGAUAAGUACCUUUUAGUGCUUCUGAAAUGUGUAGUCUAGACAAGAAGUUAGGCUUUAAGAAAAAAACAAAACCGCCUUUAACCUUUCUCUAAUUUAAAAAAAAAAGAAAAGAAGACAUGGACGCACAAGAUGCUACCAAAUAGUUCUGAAUCUCAAUAAUCUCACCUAAGUCAGUGCCAAUUGGGGGACAUUAUAAACACUAAAUCAAAAGGCAUUAAGUGAUGGGAAAAGUACGGUAAAACAAAAAAAAAACCCAAUACCGAUUUCGAUUGAAACAAAAUGAUCUAUAUAACGAAAUUGAAAUUAUAUAUACAAAACAAAAAAUUAAAAAUGAGAUACAAACAGAAUUAACACACUGAGUCCUGCAAACGCAGUAUCUUUAAGAAAGAUUUGCCGCAUUCUGAGAAUAUUGUAGACUUUGCUAACGUCUUCUUUUCAAGAUAAAACGGUUAAAUUCUUUUUAUUUUGUUUUGUUGUUUUUUUUUCCCCUACCUUCUUUCUCUUUGUGUCUCCCUUUUUUUGUAUGUUGGACCCACCAAGUAAGCAUUAGCAAACUUGAACUUACGUCUGUCUCUCUCUCAAAUCGAAAAUACAGAUUCUCUAUGAAAGUAUGAAACUAUGUUGUAUUAUUUUUUUCUAAUAUAAGAUCAUAAGAAUAUAAAGAAAACUAAAAUGGCUGAUGUGUUCUGAAAAUUGUUGAGAUAAAUUGCCAUAAUCUCCUAAUUCAUGAGGGUAAAAUGGAUGCUUUUGAAUGCUUCGUUCCAGGUUCAACGAAACCUGGCUAUCUGAUGACACCUGGUUGCUCGAAAGACCCUCUGAACGCCCACACUUCAUACCAAAAUUACAUAAAUUUUCAAAAUAAAUCUCCAUCAAAACCAUCAAUCAACGAAGGAACAGUUAGAAUCAAAAUUAGGGAAACAACUUAGUGCUCCUAGCAAUCUUGAUGUAGAAGAGCCUUUAAAGCACUCCUAUUCUCAAAAGCUUCUUCUUGCUAUUUUCCUUAAAUUGACAAUGUUAAGAAAGCUUGGGAUUGACUCUUGAAUUGUGAACUCUUGGCAAAUUUUUCUUGAGUGCUCACAGCUUCUUCCAUGGCGGUGGUUCGGAUCUUUGAUUAGGUCUCUCUUUCACAGCUUCAGAACAAAGGCCAACAACCCAUGUCCCUGAAUGCAGAAUUCUUGAUCUUGUGAGGUAUUCUGUGUCCAUCCUCUUUGAGGCCACAGCAUCCACAUCUUCUUGCUCAACUUCUUCAAUUUUGGAAAUGGUUUCAAGCUGUUCCGAUUUAUUAUUUCGAUUGAAGCGUCGGACCGCCUAUAACCUUCCCCAUCUGUUGAGAGAGAGAGAGGAAUUAAAUACAUUAACUACUGGCUCGAGAAAAAUAAAGGAAAUGAAAAUAUUACUAAAGGGGAUAACUUCCAGUUAGAGGCGGACUCAGAAAUUUGGCAAAGGGAGUAAACUACAAUUAUUUGAAAUUAGAGAGCGCUAGGAAAAAAUAACUUAGAAGGGAAUAUGAUAAAAUUUUUAAAAUUUGGAGGAACUAAAUUAAUCUUUUAAUUUAUUUUGCAUAUUUUAAAAGGGGGAGGGGGGGACCUAAUCAGAAUUUGUUGAAGUUUUGGGUUUGUAUGUCACCCUGUGUCUCUGUCACUAUACAUAGCACAAAAAGUUUUCAAACUUUAUUAUAAGCAGAGACGAGGAGAGAUAGUAGGGCACAAGUGCACGCACAUGUAUGCAAAAAUAUUGCAUUCGUGCGCCCGCAGAGAGAGAGAGAGAGAGAGAGAGAGAGAGAGAGAGAUAAUAGUUUUCUCAAUUAUAUCUCAUAUGGAAGAAGGAGAAGGAGAAGUGCUAGGUGAAUUAAUGUACAUACAAUGAGAGAAAAAAAGAGGCUUCUUCUAUGGGAAGUGGCUUUCUGCUCAUUGCAACUCACGAUAAGAUAUAUGGUUUAAUUUUGCUUGGAAGUAAACACACUAUGCAUGAGAUUUUGUUCACAACAUUGGUAUAGGUCUUCAAUGAGAAGAAUCUAUAGGGGGUUUCAAGAUAUGAAUCACCAAAAGAAAGAUGAGAAAACUACUUCUGUUUCACAAGAUUUUGUUCAUGCUAAGAAACAGACAGUUUAAAGUUAAAGAAAACAUACCAAAUUGCACCACUUGGGAUUGGACUAGCAAUUUGCAGCUGAGUUUGGAUAGAGAUUUGUUUGGGAGACAAGAAAACAAAAAAUCGCAUUUUUCUAGAAGUUCAAACCCCCAAGCUUAGUGUUAAUACGUUAUUAAAGGUAUAGAAUAUUACAGGUCGCCACCAUGUGACCAUUCACGAGCCACAGUAUCAUGAAAUUGACUCAUAGAUAGGCAAAGGUUUUUUAUGCAUUCAAAAGAUAUUAAUUUGGUCACAAAAGGUUUUCCUAUCAUUAGUCAUGGUUUUUAGUAUUAAAAAAAAUCAUGGUCAUUCGCAUUCCUCAUAGAAGAGGAGAAUUGAAAUUGAAAAACGUUGAGUUGGGGUCACUGGCCAUUUUGGACCCAAAAUUAUGAGAAAAAAAGUAGAGUGGUUCCUUUUAAAAUAACUCUGAUUUAAUCUUAUCACACUCCAUUUAGGUCUUGCUUUGAAGGUCAAAACUAUUUUUCAUUAAUGGCAACCCAAAUUCUUGAAGGAUAAAAUAUGCUUGAGAUGUUGCCGCUUGGGCGGAUUUGGUUAGCUAUUAAACCGAAAACACUAUAUCAUCUUUUAAGUUGUUAUAAUGUUAAUUAUUAAAAUUGAUUUUUUAUUUUUUUCAAUUAUUAUGUGAAUAUGUGCAUUGUCCCUAGCUACGAGUUCUUAGGGUCACCGUCCUUGACAGAACCAUUCAUUAAUUUUUAUGGUCUAGAACUCCAUAUAUGUCAUUUUUUAGGCAAUUUCAAAUUCCCACUUUUCUUUUGAAGUAAUAUUAUACCUAUAGCUGCUUCAUCUAGAUCAAAAUAUUUCUAUUACAAUUGAAAGUAUCGAUCAACAGCCAAGAAGUUUACUAAAAGAAUAGAUCAUGAAAAGAGAAACCCUAAAAUAGUUUGGUCUUCCAUCUGUUUACACUUUUAAAAAUAAUGCAAAUCAUGCAUGGUUCAUGAAAGUUGAUGUUGAAACACUCCCUAAACUAUCACUUUUUUUCACUUUCACCUACUCAUUUAAAAAUUUUCCACUUUCACCUACUCAUUUAAAAAAGAACUCAUUUAUACCCCUUUAACUAUUGAAAGUUAUCACUUUUGCCCCCCUCUGUCAGUAUUUCGCUCCAAAAAUUUGUUAAGAACUUUGAUCACAUGACACCCAUGGACUGAUUAUACAUUUGUUUAUGCCAUAUAUGGUCCUUUAUUUUGGAGAAUAAAAAAUUAUAUGCCUAUAAUAGAAUAUAUGAAGUUUGACUCAGGAUUUAUAAUCUACUUUUUAAUUUAAUUUUCAGUUUUUCUUUCUAAGUUUGUGCCAGGCGUGUCAUAGUUUUCGUUACAUGAUAUUACUCCAUAAACAAAAUCAAGAUUGCAUGUGUUUAUAUUUAUUUUUUGGUAGUUUUUUUUUUUUUUAUAACUUUUGUAAGAAAUUCCUCUUUUUAUAGAAAAACAUUAAAGAGUGGAGAAUAGAGAGAGAGACGAGAGAGAGAGGAGAGUUUGUAUAUAUAGAGAGAGAGCGGCUAAAAGAGGCAAUGAAAGUAUAUAUAGAUAGAGGAAUAGGAUUUUUUUUCUCAAACAAAGGGCAUAUUAGCAUAAAUAUUAGAAACCUGUCACAUGGUUGUCAUGUGUGAUCAAUUUUUAACGGAAUAUUUUGGACGGAAUACUAAAUGAAAGGGGGUGAGUUGGAAAGUGAUAACUUUUAAUAGUUAAGUGAUUAAAAAUGAGUUUUUUUUUUAAAUGAGAGGUUUAAAGUGAUAAAAAGUAAUAAUUUAAGGUAUAUAAUAAGCAAAAUAAAGCACAUAUCACUGGCUGUACUUGUAAGAGGACACUAAAAUGGAAGCAAUGGAUCAUGAAAACUCUGGGCCAUGGUCCUUAAUGGGGCCAGCGUCAAUAUAAAAGGUCUUAUACAAAAACUACGUGGGGCCUCAGGGUCGGCAAAACUGUGUCCAUUAAAGUACAUUAUGGUCCACACAUGUAGAAAGCUUCUCUCUCUUUGAACUGAGUUUAACUAUUCUCACGAUCUAUCCUCUUCCUCUCUCUCUCUCUCUCUUGUCUCUCUCUCUCUCUCUCUCUCUCAUCUGUCUCUUCCUUUCCCUUCUCACACCGCUGCACAGAUUCGUUCACAAA
rnacentral:lncRNA from 1 species